AUUGAACGCUGGCGGCAUGCCUUACACAUGCAAGUCGAACGGCAGCGGACCUUCGGGUGCCGGCGAGUGGCGAACGGGUGAGUAAUAUAUCGGAACGUACCUUUCAGUGGGGGAUAACGUAGCGAAAGUUACGCUAAUACCGCAUAUUCUGUGAGCAGGAAAGCAGGGGAUCGCAAGACCUUGCGCUGAUUGAGCGGCCGAUAUCAGAUUAGCUAGUUGGUGAGGUAAAGGCUCACCAAGGCGACGAUCUGUAGCGGGUCUGAGAGGAUGAUCCGCCACACUGGAACUGAGACACGGUCCAGACUCCUACGGGAGGCAGCAGUGGGGAAUAUUGCGCAAUGGGCGAAAGCCUGACGCAGCCACGCCGCGUGAGCGAUGAAGGCCUCGGUCGUAAGAC
rnacentral:rRNA from 1 species